rnacentral:rRNA from 1 species
CCAUUUGACCUCAAAUCAGGUAGGACUACCCGCUGAACUUAAGC